CCUACGGGAGGCAGCAGUGAGGAAUAUUGGUCAAUGGACGCGAGUCUGAACCAGCCAAGUCGCGUGCAGGAAGACUGUCCUAUGGAUUGUAAACCUCUUUUGUCAGAGGGCAAAGUCACACACGCGUGGGUGUCGGAAAGUAUCUGAAGAAAAAGGAUCGGCUAACUCCGUGCCAGCAGCCGCGGUAAUACGGAGGAUGCAAGCGUUAUCCGGAUUUAUUGGGUUUAAAGGGUGCGUAGGCGGUCGGAUAAGGUAGAGGUAAAAUCGUGGGGCUCAAAUUCGGAAUAGCCUUUGAUACUGUUCAGCUAGAGUGUAGUUGCGGUAGGCGGAAUGUAUGGUGUAGCGGUGAAAUGCUUAGAGAUCACACAGAACACCGAUUGCGAAGGCAGCUUACC
rnacentral:rRNA from 1 species